CAACAGGGAUUGCCCCAGUAACGGCGAGUGAAGCGGCAGCAGCUCAGAUUUGAAAUCUGGCCCCCUCGGGGGCCCGAGUUGUGGUCUGCAGAGGAUGCUCUGGGCGCGGCGCCUUCCGAGUUCCCUGGAACGGGACGCCACAGAGGGUGAGAGCCCCGUCCGGUCGGACGCCAGGCCCGUGUAGAGCUCCUUCGACGAGUCGAGUAGUUUGGGAAUGCUGCUCAAAGUGGGAGGUACAUGUCUUCUAAAGCUAAAUACCGGCCAGAGACCGAUAGCGCACAAGUAGAGUGAUCGAAAGAUGAAAAGCACUUUGGAAAGAGGGUUAAAGAGCACGUGAAAUUGCUGAAAGGGAAGCGCCCGCGACCAGACUUGGGCCCGGCAGGUCACCCAGGCUCUCGGGCCAGGGGCACUCUGCCGGGCGCAGGCCAGCAUCGGCUCGGCGCGGGGGACAAAGGCGGCGGGAACGUGGCUCCUCAGGGAGUGCUUAUAGCCCGCCGCGCCAUGCCCCGUGCCGGGCCGAGGCACGCGCACCGCAAGGAUGCUGGCGUAAUGGUCGCCGGCGACCCGUCUUGAAACACGGACCAAGGAGUCGUCCUCGUAUGCGAGUGUUGGGGUGCCAAACCCCUACGCGCAGUGAAAGCGAACGCAGGUGAGAGCCGAAGCCUCGGCGCAUCAUCGACCGAUCCUGAUGUUCUCGGAUGGAUUUGAGUAGGAGCAUACGGGGCCGGACCCGAAAGAAGGUGAACUAUGCCUGUGUAGGGUGAAGCCAGAGGAAACUCUGGUGGAGGCUCGCAGCGGUUCUGACGUGCGAAUCGAUCGUCAAACAUGGGCAUGGGGG
rnacentral:rRNA from 1 species